rnacentral:rRNA from 1 species
GACGAACGCUGGCGGCGUGCCUAAUACAUGCAAGUCGAGCGAAGUUUUUCUGGUGCUUGCACUAGAAAAACUUAGCGGCGAACGGGUGAGUAACACGUAAAGAACCUGCCUCAUAGACUGGGACAACUAUUGGAAACGAUAGCUAAUACCGGAUAACAGUAUUUCUCGCAUGAGAGAUAUUUAAAAGUUGGUUAUGCUAACACUAUGAGAUGGCUUUGCGGUGCAUUAGCUAGUUGGUGGGGUAAAGGCCCACCAAGGCGACGAUGCAUAGCCGACCUGAGAGGGUGAUCGGCCACACUGGGACUGAGACACGGCCCAGACUCCUACGGGAGGCAGCAGUAGGGAAUCUUCCGCAAUGGGCGAAGGCCUGACGGAGCAACGCCGCGUGAGUGAAGAAGGAUUUCGGUUCGUAAAGCUCUGUUGUUAGGGAAGAAUGGAUAUGUAGUAACUAUACAUGUAAGAGACGGUACCUAACCAGAAAGCCACGGCUAACUACGUG